GCAGACUCACCCUGCACCUGGCUGUAGCCCCCCAUGGGUACUUUUUCCAUCUGCCAGAGCAACUUUCUGGGGUGCUGUGGCCACCUCAACCCAAGCUGUUGAGUGAUGCAGCUGCCCUUGGGGACACAGUG
ensembl:snoRNA